GUAGGUGAACCUGCGGAAGGAUCAUUAAAGUGUUUGGGUCCCCUCGGGGGCCCGACAUCCCACCCUCCUGAAGUUAAGAAAACACCGUUGCUUUGGCUGACCGGUGCCCCGCAAGGGGCGCCGCCGGGCCCUCCAGCCCGGAGAGCGUCGGCCAGAGGACCAUCAAACACAACUUUCAACCAGAUGUCUGAGUGAAAACACAAAUGAAAUUAAAACUUUCAACAACGGAUCUCUUGGUUCUGGCAUCGAU
rnacentral:misc_RNA from 1 species